CUAACCGUAAAGUUGUUAUGGUGAGCUACCUUGAUGUAGCGCCUGGACAGUACAGGGGCUAGGUUAAAAUGCAAAGGACUUGGCGGUGCUCCAAACCCACCUAGAGGAGCCUGUUCUAUAACCGAUAAUCCACGUUAAACCUCACCACUUCUUGCUCUUUCCGCCUAUAUACCGCCGUCGUCAGCUCACCCCAUGAGGGCUCAACAGUAAGCAUAACGACCUUAAUCCUCAAUACGUCAGGUCGAGGUGUAGCGAAUGAAGUGGGAAGAAAUGGGCUACAUUCUCUUUCUAAAGCACACGAACAGAAGUAUGAAAAACUUCCCGAAGGUGGAUUUAGCAGUAAGUAAAUUUUAGAACAUUAUACUGAAACCGGCUCUGGAGCGCGCACACACCGCCCGUCACCCUCCAA
rnacentral:rRNA from 1 species